AGCAGCCGCGGUAAUUCCAGCUCCAAUAGCGUAUAUUAAAGUUGUUGCAGUUAAAAAGCUCGUAGUUGAAUUUCGGGAUCAAAUUGUCGGUCGUGCUUCGGUACGCACUGGCAUUAUUGGUUCCUACCUUCUGAAGAACCGCGAUGUCAUUAAUUUGGUGUCGUGGGGAAUCAGGACUGUUACUUUGAAAAAAUUAGAGUGUUUAAAGCAGGCGCACGCUUGAAUACAUUAGCAUGGAAUAAUGAAAUAGGACGUUUGAUUCUAUUUUGUUGGUUUCUAGGAUCGACGUAAUGAUUAAUAGGGAUAGUUGGGGGCAUUAGUAUUCAAUUGUCAGAGGUGAAAUUCUUGGAUUUAUUGAAGACUAACUACUGCGAAAGCAUUUGCCAAGGAUGUUUUCAUUAAUCAAGAACGAAAGUUAGGGGAUCGAAGACGAUCAGAUACCGUCGUAGU
rnacentral:rRNA from 1 species